CAGCAGCCACGGUAAUACGUAGGGUGCAAGCGUUAAUCGGAAUUACUGGGCGUAAAGCGUGCGCAGGCGGUUCUAUAAGACAGAUGUGAAAUCCCCGGGCUCAACCUGGGAACUGCAUUUGUGACUGUAGAGCUGGAGUACGGCAGAGGGGGAUGGAAUUCCGCGUGUAGCAGUGAAAUGCGUAGAUAUGCGGAGGAACACCGAUGGCGAAGGCAAUCCCCUGGGCCUGUACUGACGCUCAUGCACGAAAGCGUGGGGAGCAAACAGGAUUAGAUACCCCUGUAGUCCCUGUCUCUUAUAC
rnacentral:rRNA from 1 species